rnacentral:rRNA from 1 species
AGAGUUUGAUCCUGGCUCAGGGUAAACGCUGGCGGCGUGCCUAAAACAUGCAAGUCGCACGCAGGUCGCAAGGCUUGAGUGGCAGACGGCUGAGUAACGCGUGGGUGACAUACCCAUUGGUGGGGAAUAACUGCCCGAAAGGGUGGCUAAUACCGCAUUCGCCUGCACUUUCGAGGGUGUAGGGAAAGCUCGCAAGGGUGCCGAUGGAGUGGCCCGCGUCCGAUUAGCCAGUUGGUGGGGUAACGGCCUACCAAAGCGACGAUCGGUAGCUGGUCUCAGAGGAUGAUCAGCCAGACUGGGACUGAGACACGGCCCAGACUCCUACGGGAGGCAGCAGUGGGGAAUAUUGGACAAUGGGCGCAAGCCUGAUCCAGCCAUGCCGCGUGAGUGAUGAAGGCCUUAGGGUUGUAAAGCUCUUUUGCCGGGGACGAUAAUGACGGUACCCGGAGAAUAAGUCCCGGCUAACUUCGUGCCAGCAGCCGCGGUAG